rnacentral:rRNA from 1 species
AUUGAACGCUGGCGGCAUGCCUUACACAUGCAAGUCGAACGGCAGCACGGGGCAACCUGGUGGCGAGUGGCGAACGGGUGAGUAAUGCAUCGGAACGUGCCAUUGAGUGGGGGAUAACGUAGCGAAAGUUGCGCUAAUACCGCAUAUUCUGUGAGCAGGAAAGCAGGGGACCGCAAGGCCUUGCGCUCUUUGAGCGGCCGAUGUCAGAUUAGCUAGUUGGUGAGGUAACGGCUUACCAAGGCGACGAUCUGUAGCGGGUCUGAGAGGAUGAUCCGCCACACUGGAACUGAGACACGGUCCAGACUCCUACGGGAGGCAGCAGUGGGAAUUUUGGACAAUGGGCGCAAGCCUGAUCCAGCCAUGCCGCGUGAGUGAAGAAGGCCUUCGGGUUGUAAA